AACGCAGCGAAAGCUGUGCUAAUACCGCAUACGCCCUGAGGGGGAAAGCGGGGGAUCGAAAGACCUCGCGCGAUUAGAGCGGCCGAUGCCUGAUUAGCUUGUUGGUGGGGUAAAAGCCCACCAAGGCGACGAUCAGUAGCUGGUCUGAGAGGACGAUCAGCCACACUGGGACUGAGACACGGCCCAGACUCCUACGGGAGGCAGCAGUGGGGAAUUUUGGACAAUGGGGGCAACCCUGAUCCAGCAAUGCCGCGUGAGUGAAGAAGGCCUUCGGGUUGUAAAGCUCUUUUGUCAGGGAAGAAACACCGGCUCUAACACAGUCCGGGAAUGACGGUACCUGAAGAAUAAGCACCGGCUAACUACGUGCCAGCAGCCGCGGUAAUACGUAGGGUGCGAGCGUUAAUCGGAAUUACUGGGCGUAAAGCGUGCGCAGGCGGUUAUACAAGACAGGCGUGAAAUCCCCGGGCUUAACCUGGGAAUGGCGCCUGUGACUGUAUAGCUAGAGUGUGUCAGAGGGGGGUAGAAUUCCACGUGUAGCAGUGAAAUGCGUAGAUAUGUGGAGGAAUACCAAUGGCGAAGGCAGCCCCCUGGGAUAACACUGACGCUCAUGCACGAAAGCGUGGGGAGCAAACAGGAUCAGAUACCCUGGUAGUCCACGCCCUAAACGAUGCUGACUAGUUGUUCGGGAUUUACAUCCUGAGUAACGUAGCUAACGCGUGAAGUCAGCCGCCUGGGGAGUACGGUCGCAAGAUUAAAACUCAAAGGAAUUGACGGGGACCCGCACAAGCG
rnacentral:rRNA from 1 species